rnacentral:tRNA from 1 species
UGGUCUUAUAGUUGAUAGACAACAUUUAAUUGCAGAUUAAAAAGAAUAGUUUUUAUUAAGAUU